GACAGAAGACACAGAAAUCCUCUUCAUCACAAACAUGAUGCUGAUCUUCAUCUGGACUUUCCUCUGCUGUUGCUUCACAGAGUCCAGAGGUCAGGUCACAGUGACUCAGCCUGGAGCAGUGAGCUCUGCUCUGGGAGGCUCUGUCACCAUCAGCUGUAAGACCAGUCAGAGGGUAGAUGAUGGAACAGACCAAUUCUGGUACCAACAGAAAGAUGGACAACCUCCUAAACUGCUCACCAGCUAUGGUAAUCGUAAAGUUUCAGGGAUUCCUGAUCGAUUUUCAAGCAGUGGAUCAAACACUGACUUCACUCUGAGCAUCAGUGGAGUUCAGGCUGAAGAUGCUGCAGUUUAUUACUGUAAAGGUGAAUUCUGGCCUAACAGUCAACUCGUGUUCACACAGUGAAAACUCAUCGUACAAAAACUUCCCUCAGUUACACUAAACAGAAGCUGAACUGAAACUGCUGUAGCUGGAAACUACAGCUACAGUUCACUGAACACACACCAACAUUUUUGAUUGUAUCUUUAACUUCAUACAGUCAUUUGAACAUGAACAUUUUCUGCUGCAAUAUGUUGUAUUUAUAAUGUGUAAAAUAUGUAUAAAGGUUUUUCCCUGUGGACACCAACUGCAGUUCUUCAUUCAGUAAAAGUUUAAAACAAUGGA